AAAAAAACAAAAAAAAAAAAAAGGAGGGGAGGAAAUGAGAAACACAUUGAACAUGAAACAUAAUUACUGCAGUCCUCUCUCCCCUUUGCUGUUGCUGCUGGAGAAUACACUAUUUUGGAGCAUGAAGACCAUUUCAAGGACGUUUCAAGGCCAGGCUGGAUGGGGCUCUGAGCAGCCUGGUCUAGUGGGAGGUGUCCAAGCCCAUGGCAGGGGGGGUUGGAACUAGAUGACCUUUAAGGUCCCUUCUGACCCGAACCAUUCUAUGAUUCUAGGAUUCUAUGAAAAACCACCUCAACUCAAGAUUUGAGAGGCUGUCUGAUCCGAGAGACAGCUUGCCUCCUAAUCUUUAUGCAAUCUUUGCAAAACCAACGUAUCCAAAUCUUCCUGUGUGGAUAACCCCUGUUUGAAACCUCCAUAGGUCUACUUGGUAGCCCUUUGCUGCAAACAUAAUCCAUGAAAGUCUGAGGGGAGGUAGGUGGAUGUACGUGCAUCAUCUCUGACUGUGAGACUGUCCAUUAUAUACUGUGACUAGAAGAGAAACGUAGCUUGAUAGGGAAGCAGCCGCACAGAGUCCUCCGAUUCAAAUGCCUACCUGCAAACAACCCAGUUAAACUCCGUAGAGCUUUCUGAGGCGCUAUGCAAAAAGCUAUUGCAUAUGCAACCUACAAUACUGAAAGCUAUGUAACAUAAUUGCCGGAAAAAGUGCUUCUAGAAAGAAAUUUGGUUUAUGUUGAAAUGCACAUCCUUUUCUGCAAAUUCAUGUUGCUACUGUAGAAAAGUAAAUUUUAUUCCUCUUUCCUGCUGCUUUCUUCCUUCUGCAUCUCAUGAUUGCACCGAGCAUCUCAAUUAGAGAAGAGAGAGACGUGUAUGUUACUUGUUUUCUAUUGUUAUAGACACGGUGUUUCCAAAAAGAUCCCUGAGAUUUGCAUCUAGGAACUUACUUCUAUGCAUAUGUAUCCCAGGAAAUCCAAAUCAUGAAUAUUAGUGAUGGGUGGGACCCAAACUGCACCGUCUGCACAAGGAAAGAUCCUUCAGUUUUCAGGAAGACAUCUACUUCAGCUGGAAACAACAUGCAGAGUUUUGAUGCCGAUAGGUGGGAGACUACAAGAAAUGAGCUGAUAAAGAGCCAUCAUCAACAUAAUCAGGACCAAUUCCCUCUUCUGAUUUCCUCAGAGUUUUCUCUUGUCUCUCCCUGUGUUUGUUACCCCCACAGGGCUCUGAGCACAGACAAACCCUGGUGGGGCACACAGAUUUGGGUGGGGGUUCUCGGGCAGGGCUGGUGUUUUGGUGGACAUGCUGACUUCAUACUUCAUCUCUUAACAGGACAUUGCCAACAGAGGAACUGACUACUUGAAUCAAGACAUAAACAGCAGGUUCACCCUCACCUCAUCACAGUGAGACACAAGCAGUUAGAUUUCCAAAUCUGCAGCAUUGAUAUACCCAGUCAAACCUGCCUGCUGCUAAGGAGCCAUGCACCUUGCUCUCCCCUGUCUACCGCAUGCACUGCGCAACCAAGAGGAGCACCACGCUGCCAGUGGCACCACAGACAGGGCUCUACAGCCAGGUCACGCCUGGGGAGAGGUGGGUGUUAUGUCCUGGCUCCCGCACCAUCACAUUUUGAUGCCUGAGGUUUCACUGGGCCAUCAGGAAAUUCAGACAACGGUGAGCACUUAAGAAGCGCCGCUUAUUAUCUGCUACUUGUAUGGCGGUAUUGGCUCGUGGGCUCUGCUGCCACAUGAGUCCUCUUGUGCUAUGUGCAAAUAAAACCCCAUCCUGCUGUGGAGCAGGUGUACUGAGGAGUUCAGCCGAGUCUGGGUUUCCCAUUAGCACUGCCCAAAGCAACGCACAUAUUCCCAGGCCUAGGCAAGACAGCCCGUUGCAGUCUCUCAUGUUCAUCCACCCCUGCAUGCAGAAGAAAGAGUG